rnacentral:rRNA from 1 species
UCCAUGAUUCUUGAAGCAAGUUGCGCCCGAGGCUAUCUGGCCGAGGGCACGCCUGCCUGGGCGUCAUGCC